AUACGACCUUAUCAGAUUGAAAAACCUGUUCUCGUAUGAUCACCGAUGUUAAGCAACGUCAAGCUUUGUCAGUACCUAAAUGGGUGACCGCUUGAGAAUACCAGGUGCUGUAA